GCUGGACCAGCCGUGCCUCUACUAACCUAGCAAAUCUCUAGAAGAUGACGGUGUUCUUUAAAACGCUUCGAAACCAUUGGAAGAAAACUACAGCUGGGCUCUGUCUGCUGACCUGGGGAGGCCGUUGGCUCUAUGGAAAACACUGUGAUAACCUACUAAGGAGAGCAGCCUGUCAAGAAGCUCAGGUGUUUGGCAAUCAACUCAUUCCUCCCAAUGCACAAGUGAAGAAGGCCACUGUUUUUCUCAAUCCGGCAGCUUGCAAGGGAAAAGCCAGGACUCUAUUUGAAAAAAAUGCUGCCCCGAUUUUACAUUUAUCCGGCAUGGAUGUGACUAUUGUUAAGACAGAUUAUGAGGGACAAGCCAAGAAACUCCUGGAACUGAUGGAAAACGCAGAUGUGAUCAUUGUUGCAGGAGGAGAUGGGACACUGCAGGAGGUUGUUACUGGAGUUCUUCGACGAACAGAUGAGGCUACCUUCAGUAAGAUUCCCAUUGGAUUUAUCCCACUGGGAGAGACCAGUAGUUUGAGUCAUACCCUCUUUGCUGAAAGUGGAAACAAAGUCCAACAUAUUACUGAUGCCACACUUGCCAUUGUGAAAGGAGAGACAGUUCCACUUGAUGUCUUGCAGAUCAAGGGUGAAAAGGAACAGACUGUGUUUGCAAUGACCGGCCUUCGAUGGGGAUCUUUCAGAGAUGCUGGCAUCAAAGUUAGCAAGUACUGGUAUCUUGGGCCUCUAAAAAUCAAAGCAGCCCACUUUUUCAGCACUCUUAAGGAGUGGCCUCAGACUCAUCAAGCCUCUAUCUCAUACACGGGACCUACAGAGAGACCUCCCAGUGAACCAGAGGAGACCCCUGUACAAAGACCUUCUUUGUACAGGAGAAUAUUACGAAGGCUUGCAUCCUACUGGGCACAACCACAGAAUGCCCUUUCCCAAGAGGUGAGCCCAGAGGUCUGGAAAGAUGUGCAGCUGUCCACCAUUGAACUGUCCAUCACAACACGGAACAAUCAGCUUGACCCGACGAGCAAAGAAGAUUUUCUGAAUAUCUGCAUUGAACCUGACACCAUCAGCAAAGGAGACUUUAUAACUAUAGGAAGUCGAAAGGUGAGAAACCCCAAGCUGCAUGCCGAGGGCACGGAGUGUCUCCAAGCCAGCCGGUGCACCUUGCUUGUCCCCGAGGGAGCAGGGGGCUCUUUUAGCAUUGACAGUGAGGAGUAUGAAGCGAUGCCUGUGGAGGUGAAACUGCUCCCCAGGAAGCUGCAGUUCCUCUGUGAUCCUAGGAAGAGAGAACAGAUGCUCGCAAGCCCCACCCAGUGAGCAGCAGAAGACAAGCGCUCUGAGACCACACUUUAGGCCACCGGUGGGACCAAAAGAACAGGUGCCUCAACCAUCCCAACAGUGUCGUCAGAGGGUCCCCAGGGCAUUUUCAUGGCAAGUACCCCUCUGCCCCCACUCCAACAGUGCUUCCCAAAGUGUGCUCUGUCACCUGCUUUGCAAUCAGCUUCCAUUAGUGCAUGUUUUAUUUUGGUGUGAUGGUCGGCGCUCCUAAACACGAACUUUCCUCAGGCUGGUUCAAGAUGGAAAAGGACUUUCUUCUGUUUUCUUCCAAAGUGCAACCACGGUGAAGAGCCCACAGUGGGCUUAGCCUGCCUACGCCCUUCCAUUUCUGUUCUUUGACCGUGCUAGGAAUUCCAGGAAAGUGCAUUCCUUCCCUGGCGACCUUUUCCUAUUUCUAGGCUCCUUCACGGGUGCUGCUGUUUUGUGAGCUCCGGCUCCUGUUUAGCUUUUAUUUCAGUUCUAUCCUCAGUCCAGAAAUGUAGGCGAGGUUGUUUCCCUCUCCAGCCAUGGCUACAAUACUGUAAAUUGCUAGUUUUUAUUUUGUUAAGUAGUGCUUCUUAAAUGGUUUGCAUGAGAGCCACCUGGGGUACAUGCUGAAAAUUGAUUUAUUUGGGGUCCACCCCAAACCUAAUAACCCAAUUUGGGAAUGGGGUCCAGGAAUAUGCAUUUUUAAAAAGUCAGCCACCCUUCCCAGGUGAUUCUGUAGGUUGUCCCUCAACCGUAUUGGAGAAAUAGUGUUUUAAAGCAGUGGUCCACAAAGUAUUCUGCUCACGUGCCCCCCAGAAGUAUUUUGAAAAAUCAUGUAUCCCCUCACCCAUCUAAGCUGACAUCUAAAAUUUUUCAUGGGAAGUUAAAUAGUUGACCAAGUAUGUAUUUGCUGGUGUCGUGUAAAUAUUGGUAUUCUAAAAUAAAAACUGUUACAUCACUAUUUUAAACAUAUCAGUACAAUUUAAAUAUCAUAACAAUUUGACACCCUUCAUUCAUUUAUAAAAAUAAAUGAGCUAGUUCUUUAGUAGUUGAACAUUUCAAAUUGGCUUUUCUCCUUCUGUAUUUCUAUACUACUUUUCAGCCAAGAAUCCUAUCAGAAUGUAAUCUAUUAUGCCUGCCAUCUUUUAAUCAUUCACCCCAUUAUCUUGUCAACAAAAAAUAUAAAUGGAAAUAAGUUUUUUUAGUUCUUGCUUUAAGUGUUUAUCUCAGUCCAGAACAAAUGUUAUCAUAAUUAAAUGUUAUAAUUAUUGGUAUAUAAUGAAAAAA